rnacentral:rRNA from 1 species
AGUGAACGCUGGCGGUAGGCCUAACACAUGCAAGUCGAACGGCAGCACAGUAAGAGCUUGCUCUUACGGGUGGCGAGUGGCGGACGGGUGAGGAAUACAUCGGAAUCUACUUUUUCGUGGGGGAUAACGUAGGGAAACUUACGCUAAUACCCCAUACGACCUACGGGUGAAAGCAGGGGAUCUUCGGACCUUGCGCGAUUGAAUGAGCCGAUGUCGGAUUAGCCAGUUGGCGGGGUAAAGGCCCACCAAGGCGACGAUCCGUAGCUGGUCUGAGAGGAUGAUCAGCCACACUGGAACUGAGACACGGCCCAGACUCCUACGGGAGGCAGCAGUGGGGAAUAUUGGACAAUGGGCGCAAGCCUGAUCCAGCCAUACCGCGUGGGUGAAGAAGGCCUUCGGGUUGUAAAGCCCUUUUGUUGGGAAAGAAAAGCAGCAGGUUAAUACCCCGCUGUUCUGACGGUACCCAAAGAAUAAGCACCGGCUAACUUCGUG